GACGAACGCUGGCGGCGUGCUUAACACAUGCAAGUCGAACGGAAAGGCCCUGCUUUUGUGGGGUGCUCGAGUGGCGAACGGGUGAGUAACACGUGAGUAACCUGCCCUUGACUUUGGGAUAACUUCAGGAAACUGGGGCUAAUACCGGAUAGGAGCUCCUGCUGCAUGGUGGGGGUUGGAAAGUUUCGGCGGUUGUGGCUGGACUGGCGGCUUAUCAGCUUGUUUGUGGGGUAGUGGCUUACCAGGGCUUUGACGGGUAGCCGGCCUGAGAGGGUUACCGGCCACAAUGGGACUGAGAGACGGACCAGACUCCUACGGGAGGCAGCAGUGGGGAGCAUUGCACAAUGGGCGGGAGCCAGAUGCAGCAGCGCCGCGUGCGGGAUGCCGGCCUACGGGUGGUAAACCGCUUUCGCCGGUAACGAAGCGUGAGUGACGGUAAUGGGUAAAGAAGCACCGGCUAACUACGUG
rnacentral:rRNA from 1 species